GUGGGGAAUCUUAGACAAUGGGGGAAACCCUGAUCUAGCCAUGCCGCGUGAGCGAUGAAGGCCUUAGGGUUGUAAAGCUCUUUCAGCUGGGAAGAUAAUGACGGUACCAGCAGAAGAAGCCCCGGCUAACUCCGUGCCAGCAGCCGCGGUAAUACGGAGGGGGCUAGCGUUGUUCGGACUUACUGGGCGUAACGCGCGCGUAGGCGGACCAGAAAGUUGGAGGUGAAAUCCCAGGGCUCAACCGUGGAACUGCCUUCAAAACUCCUGGUCUGGAGUUCGAGAGAGGUGAGUGGAAUUCCGAGUGUAGAGGUGAAAUUCGUAGAUAUUCGGAGGAACACCAGUGGCGAAGGCGGCUCACUGGCUCGAUACUGACGCUGAGGUGCGAAAGCGUGGGGAGCAAACAGGAUUAGAAACCCUUGUAGUCC
rnacentral:rRNA from 1 species